rnacentral:hammerhead_ribozyme from 1 species
AUCCAGUUGACGAGUCCCGAAUAGGACGAAACGCACCUACUGGAU